CCCCAGCGCCACAAGUGGCAACCAGCUUUAUUUGGUCUAAAGCGUCCGUAGCUGGCAUGUUAAAUUUUCUGUGAAAUCGUGGAGCUUAACUUCACGGCGUGCAGAGAACACUGACAUGCUAGGGACCGGGAGAGGUCAGCGGUAUUCUUUGGGGAGCGGUAAAAUGCUAUAAUCCAAGGAGGACCACCGAUGGCGAAGGCAGCUGACCAGCACGGAUCCGACAGUGAGGGACGAAAGCUAGGGGA
rnacentral:rRNA from 1 species